rnacentral:rRNA from 1 species
AUGACAAAUAUGGUUCGAUGGCUCUUCUCUACUAACCACAAGGAUAUUGGGACUCUCUAUUUCAUCUUCGGUGCCAUUGCAGGAGUGAUGGGCACAUGCUUCUCCGUACUGAUUCGUAUGGAAUUAGCCCGACCCGGCGAUCAAAUUCUUGGUGGGAAUCAUCAACUUUAUAAUGUUUUAAUAACGGCUCAUGCUUUUUUAAUGAUCUUUUUUAUGGUUAUGCCGGCGAUGAUAGGUGGAUUUGGUAAUUGGUUUGUUCCGAUUCUGAUAGGUGCACCUGACAUGGCAUUUCCACGAUUAAAUAAUAUAUCAUUCUGGUUGUUGCCACCAAGUCUCUUGCUCCUAUUAAGCUCAGCCUUAGUAGAAGUGGGCAGCGGCACUGGGUGGACAGUCUAUCCGCCCUUAAGUGGUAUUACCAGCCAUUCUGGAGGAGCAGUUGAUUUAGCAAUUUUUAGUCUUCAUCUAUCAGGUAUUUCAUCAAUUUUAGGUUCUAUCAAUUUUAUAACAACUAUCUUCAACAUGCUUGGACCUGGAAUGACUAUGCAUAGAUUACCACUUUUUGUGUGGUCCGUUCUAGUGACAGCAUUCCUACUUUUAUUAUCACUUCCGGUACUGGCGGGGGCAAUUACAAUGUUAUUAACCGAUCGAAACUUUAAUACAACCUUUUUUGAUCCUGCAGGAGGGGGAGACCCAAUAUUAUACCAGCAUCUCUUUUGGUUCUUCGGUCAUCCAGAGGUGUAUAUUCUCAUUCUGCCUGGAUUUGGUAUUAUUAGUCAUAUCGUAUCGACCUUUUCAAGAAAACCGGUCUUCGGGUAUCUAGGCAUGGUUUAUGCCAUGAUAAGUAUAGGUGUUCUUGGAUUUCUAGUUUGGGCUCAUCAUAUGUUUACUGUGGGCUUAGACGUUGAUACGCGUGCCUACUUCACCGCAGCUACCAUGAUCAUAGUUGUGCCCACAGGAAUCAAAAUCUUUAGUUGGAUCGCUACCAUGUGGGGAGGUUCGAUACAAUACAAAACACCCAUGUUAUUUGCUGUAGGGUUCAUCUUUUUGUUCACCAUAGGAGGGCUCACUGGAAUAGUUCUAGCAAACUCUGGGCUAGACAUUGCUCUACAUGAUACUUAUUAUGUGGUUGCACAUUUCCAUUAUGUACUUUCUAUGGGAGCCGUUUUUGCUUUAUUUGCUGGAUUUUACUAUUGGGUGGGUAAAAUCUUUGGUCGGACAUAUCCUGAAACUUUAGGCCAAAUCCAUUUUUGGAUCACUUUUUUCGGGGUUAAUCUGACCUUCUUUCCCAUGCAUUUCUUAGGGCUUUCGGGUAUGCCACGUCGCAUUCCAGAUUAUCCAGAUGCUUACGCCGGAUGGAAUGCUCUGAGCAGUUUCGGUUCUUAUAUAUCCAUAGUUGGGAUUCGUCGUUUCUUCGUAGUUGUCGCAAUCACUUCAAGCAGUGGAAAGAACCAAAAAUGUGCGGAAAGUCCUUGGGCUGUUGAACAGAAUCCAACCACACUAGAAUGGUUGGUACAAAGCCCUCCGGCCUUUCAUACUUUUGGAGAACUUCCAGCGGUAAAAGAGACAAAAAGCUAG